GGACACAGCAUGGCCGUGAGGGUCCCUGCUCAGCUCCUGGGCCUCCUGCUGCUCUGGCUCCCAGGUGUCAGAAGUGACAUCCAGAUGACGCAGUCUCCAGCCUCCCUGUCUGCAUCUCCAGGGGACACGGUCACCAUGAGGUGCCGGGCCAGUCAGAACAUUAUCAGUGAGUUAGACUGGUAUCAGCAGAAACCAGGGCAAGCACCUAGACUCCUGAUCUACCAUGUAUCCAACUUGCACUCUGGGGUCCCACCGAGGUUCAGCGGCAGUGGGUCGGGGACAGACUUCACUCUCACCAUCAGCAGCCUGCAGCCCGAAGACUUUGCAACUUAUUACUGCCGACAAGAUUACAGCUACCCUUUCCCACAGUGA